CUUGAUUCUUUUACUCGUUCUUUCAUUCCUUUCUCUCUCUCACUUUUUGUAAAACCCAGAAAACAGAAAUAACACGAAGAUCUUCAUCUUCUUUAACCCUUACCUUCAACAACAAAACCCAGAAACCACUCAAUUCCUAAGAACUCAACCCUAACCCUUACCCCAAAAAUCCCAGCAAACAACACGCAGAUCAACAAAAUUUCGUGAAUCUAAAAAAAGGCUAAGUGAAAAUACCUCAGUUAAUUCUUUAUUGCUUCGGAUCGAUUUCAAUUUUAAUCUUUCUUCUUCUCCGUUUCAGGUACCGAGAACGAAUGAGGCACAACAAGAGUUCUUCCGUCUAAUCUUUCUUUUUCGUCCCCUUCUAUCCUUCUUUGUCUUUCGAUCCCCCCCUUUUUCUGUAGAUUUAGGUUGUCAUUUAUAGCCUUAGGUUUUCCGAUUCGAAUAAGGAAAUAGUUUUAAGAGUUUUAAUUUCAGAUUAUUCGAAGGUUUGAUUCAGUUUUUAAGAGGUUUGAUUUUAUUUUAGAUUAGGAAAGAUUUGAUUUCUUGUUAAAGCUGUAUUUUAAUUUUUGAUGUAAAUGCAUUUUGAUCCAAUUUAUAAUGAUAAUUUUGGUAUUCAAUUGCUAA